AUUGAACGCUGGCGGCAUGCCUUACACAUGCAAGUCGAACGGUAACAGGUCUUCGGAUGCUGACGAGUGGCGAACGGGUGAGUAAUACAUCGGAACGUGCCCGAUCGUGGGGGAUAACGAAGCGAAAGCUUUGCUAAUACCGCAUACGAUCUACGGAUGAAAGCAGGGGACCGCAAGGCCUUGCGCGAACGGAGCGGCCGAUGGCAGAUUAGGUAGUUGGUGGGAUAAAAGCUUACCAAGCCGACGAUCUGUAGCUGGUCUGAGAGGACGACCAGCCACACUGGGACUGAGACACGGCCCAGACUCCUACGGGAGGCAGCAGUAGGGAAUAUUGGACAAUGGGGGCAACCCUGAUCCAGCCAUGCCGCGUGAGUGAAGAAGGCCCUCGGGUUGUAAAGCUCUUUUGUCCGGAAAGAAAAGCAAUCGGUUAAUACCCGGUUGUUCUGACGGUACCGGAAGAAUAAGCACCGGCUAACUUCGUGCCAGCAGCCGCGGUAAAGUGACG
rnacentral:rRNA from 1 species